rnacentral:rRNA from 1 species
GUCGCAUGCUCCCGGCCGCCAUGGCGGCCGCGGGAAUUCGAUAGAGUUUGAUCAUGGCUCAGAACGAACGCUGGCGGCAUGCCUAACACAUGCAAGUCGAACGAAGGCUUCGGCCUUAGUGGCGCACGGGUGCGUAACGCGUGGGAAUCUGCCCCUUGGUUCGGAAUAACAGUUAGAAAUGACUGCUAAUACCGGAUGACGACGUAAGUCCAAAGAUUUAUCGCCGAGGGAUGAGCCCGCGUAGGAUUAGCUAGUUGGUGUGGUAAAGGCGCACCAAGGCGACGAUCCUUAGCUGGUCUGAGAGGAUGAUCAGCCACACUGGGACUGAGACACGGCCCAGACUCCUACGGGAGGCAGCAGUGGGGAAUAUUGGACAAUGGGCGAAAGCCUGAUCCAGCAAUGCCGCGUGAGUGAUGAAGGCCUUAGGGUUGUAAAGCUCUUUUACCCGGGAUGAUAAUGACAGUACCGGGAGAAUAAGCUCCGGCUAACUCCGUGCCAGCAGCCGCGGUAAUACGAAUCACUAGUGAAUUCGCGGCCGCCUGCAGGUCGACCAUAUGGGAGAGCUCC